rnacentral:rRNA from 1 species
UUUAAGCUUCCUACGGGAGGCUGCAGUGGGGAAUUUUGGACAAUGGGCGCAAGCCUGAUCCAGCAAUGCCGCGUGCAGGAAGAAGGCCUUCGGGUUGUAAACUGCUUUUGUACGGAGCGAAAAGGCUCUCUCUAAUACAGGGGGCUCAUGACGGUACCGUAAGAAUAAGCACCGGCUAACUACGUGCCAGCAGCCGCGGUAAUACGUAGGGUGCAAGCGUUAAUCGGAAUUACUGGGCGUAAAGCGUGCGCAGGCGGUUUUGUAAGACAGGCGUGAAAUCCCCGGGCUCAACCUGGGAAUGGCGCUUGUGACUGCAAAGCUGGAGUGCGGCAGAGGGGGAUGGAAUUCCGCGUGUAGCAGUGAAAUGCGUAGAUAUGCGGAGGAACACCGAUGGCGAAGGCAAUCCCCUGGGCCUGCACUGACGCUCAUGCACGAAAGCGUGGGGAGCAAACAGGAUUAGAUAACUUGUAGUCGAAUUCUU